rnacentral:misc_RNA from 1 species
AAGUCGUAACAAGGUUUCCGUAGGUGAACCUGCGGAAGGAUCAUUAACACGUUAUCCACGUAUCAACCAAACCGUGAACUUGAAUCGUAUGCCAGUUACGCUGUCGAGAGGGAGUGAAGAAGGGAUUCUUCUCUCUGCUUUCCCCAGUGUUUAACUGCCAUCGUUGUUUCAAUUACCAAAUCACCCCUGAUGUCUUCUCUUUCUUCCUCACGGGAGAAGGAGAAAAACAUUGGUUUUCUCUAUAUUUCUUAUUGAAGCUCAGGGCCUUUUCGGCUUUGUCUUCUAACACAAACUCUGUACAACUCUUAGCAACGGAUAUCUUGGUUUCC